rnacentral:rRNA from 1 species
GUGGGGAAUAUUGGACAAUGGGCGAAAGCCUGAUCCAGCCAUGCCGCGUGUGUGAAGAAGGUCUUCGGAUUGUAAAGCACUUUAAGUUGGGAGGAAGGGCAGUAAGUUAAUACCUUGCUGUUUUGACGUUACCAACAGAAUAAGCACCGGCUAACUUCGUGCCAGCAGCCGCGGUAAUACGAAGGGUGCAAGCGUUAAUCGGAAUUACUGGGCGUAAAGCGCGCGUAGGUGGUUCAGCAAGUUGAAGGUGAAAUCCCCGGGCUCAACCUGGUAACUGCCGCCAAAACUACUGAGCUAGAGUACGGUAGAGGGUAAUGGAAUUUCCUGUGUAGCGGUGAAAUGCGUAGAUAUAGGAAGGAACACCAGUGGCGAAGGCGACUACCUGGACUGAUACUGACACUGAGUUGCGAAAGCGUGGGGAGCAAACAGGAUUAGAUACCCGGGUAGUCC